rnacentral:rRNA from 1 species
AUACGUAGGGGGCGAGCGUUGUCCGGAAUGAUUGGGCGUAAAGGGCGCGUAGGCGGCCCGGUAAGUCUGGAGUGAAAGUCCUGUUUUUAAGAUGGGAAUUGCUUUGGAUACUGUCGGGCUUGAGUGCAGGAGAGGUAAGUGGAAUUCCCAGUGUAGCGGUGAAAUGCGUAGAGAUUGGGAGGAACACCAGUGGCGAAGGCGACUUACUGGGCCGUAACUGACGCUGAGGCGCGAAAGCGUGGGGAGCGAACAGGAUUAGAUACCCUGGUAGUCCACGCGGUAAACGAUGAAUGCUAGGUGUUGCGGGUAUCGACCCCUGCAGUGCCGGAGUAAACACAAUAAGUAAUCCACCUGGGGAGUACGGCCGCAAGGUUGAAACUCAAAGGAAUUGACGGGG